rnacentral:tRNA from 1 species
AGGAUUAUAGUUUAUUUAAAACAUUUGAUUUGCACUCAAAAAAAAUUGAAAUAACAUAACAAUUUAUCUUA